rnacentral:rRNA from 1 species
GGGCCCGCACAAGCGGUGGAGUAUGUGGUUUAAUUCGAUGCAACGCGAAGAACCUUACCAGGGUUUGACAUCCUGCGAAUCUCUUGGAAACGAGAGAGUGCCUUCGGGAACGCAGUGACAGGUGGUGCAUGGCUGUCGUCAGCUCGUGUCGUGAGAUGUUGGGUUAAGUCCCGCAACGAGCGCAACCCACGUCUUUAGUUGCCAGCAAGUAAAGUUGGGUACUCUAGCGAGACUGCCGGUGCAAACCGAGAGGAAGGUGGGGAUGACGUCAAAUCAUCACGGCCCUUACGUCCUGGGCUACACACGUGCUACAAUGCUACGGACAAAGGGCAGCAAGUUCGCGAGGACAAGCAAAUCCCAUAAACCGUGGCUCAGUUCAGAUCGUAGGCUGCAACUCGCCUACGUGAAGGCGGAAUCGCUAGUAAUCGCAGGUC